CCACAAUGCAAUGCGUGUGAACCACAAUUCAUUGCGUUUGAAUUAUUCGAAGAUAGCUGCCGGUUGCGCAAGGAAAACAACCGAAACAUAGUCAUGUCGGACACAGUUGGAGUUGAAAGGAAAGCAGAGAUUUGUCCUCGCAGAUGGACGCCACUUUGCUCGUCCUGCUGGUUCCUGGUGUUGCCCUUUGUGGCUCAACAUCUGCGGCUCCCAGCAGUCCCCUUCACAGAUGCACACAUUGUGCAGGAUGGUGCUGCAGGCAAUGAUUUUCAUUGCAAAGAGCGUGCCCUGGUUGUAACGGGCCUCAAUGGCAUUCCUC